rnacentral:rRNA from 1 species
UACGAAGGGUGCAAGCGUUAAUCGGAAUUACUGGGCGUAAAGCGCGCGUAGGUGGUUCAGCAAGUUGAAGGUGAAAUCCCCGGGCUCAACCUGGGAACUGCCUCCAAAACUACUGAGCUAGAGUACGGUAGAGGGUAGUGGAAUUUCCUGUGUAGCGGUGAAAUGCGUAGAUAUAGGAAGGAACACCAGUGGCGAAGGCGACUACCUGGACUGAUACUGACACUGAGGUGCGAAAGCUAGGGGAGCAAACGGG